AUAUGGUAUGAAAGAAGUGGGUUGCAAAACCCUUGACAAGGAUAGAAGAGGUCCUAGUAGCCUUUACAACAUAUAUACGUUUAAGGAAUUGCCACUUAAUUUGUGGUAUCUCUAACCGGGUUUCUAU